GGCAUGGACCUUUAUUUUGCUUUUUGCUGUGUUCCACUUCCUGGAGCGGCCAUUUUGUCUCUUCCUGGUUAGGCUUAUUGUUGCUGUUUUUCCCCCUUCAUGUAGUGGCUAAUUAGCAAAAUGGUUUCCUCCAUGCUCUGAUUGGUUUAGGCCCUGUUAAUUAGCCCCUUUGGCCUCCUUAAAGCAGACAACACAUGCACCCUUGCUCUCCAUUUCUGAUUUGCCCCUCUAGCUGCUGCUGGAAGCUCCUGUUUGAAGCCAAUGCUGUUCAUGCUUUUAAGGUAAUUAUUACUGUUUUUAAGUACUUGAUUAAAAGCUAAUGUGUUAGUAUUUCUUAUCUUUGGUGUUUAAUGACUGUUUGUUUUAUUAGGAUCAGUUCCUGACUAUUGCCUUGAUUUUAUGUACGGUAGGCCCAGCCAUUCGGGUUUUAAGGCCCCUUGGAUGUGUGGAUUUAAGCAGUGGUGUUCAGUUGCAUAAAGAGCCCUGUGUUUUAAUUGAAUAACUAUAUUCUUGAUUUGGUACCAAUGUUUUAAUGAAAGUAAAAAUAAAUGUGAAUGAGAUUUCUAUUUUGUGUGGAAAAUAAAUUAAUUGUUUUGGAAACUUG